AUUGAACGCUGGCGGCAUGCCUUACACAUGCAAGUCGAACGGCAGCACGGGAGCAAUCCUGGUGGCGAGUGGCGAACGGGUGAGUAAUAUAUCGGAACGUGCCCAGUCGUGGGGAUAACGUAGAGAAAUUUACGCUAAUACCGCAUACGAUCUAAGGAUGAAAGCGGGGGAUUCGCAAGAACCUCGCGCGAUUGGAGCGGCUGAUAUCAGAUUAGGUUGUUGGUGAGGUAAAAGCUCACCAAGCCGACGAUCUGUAGCUGGUUUGAGAGAACGACCAGCCACACUGGGACUGAGACACGGCCCAGACUCCUACGGGAGGCAGCAGUGGGGAAUUUUGGACAAUGGGCGCAAGCCUGAUCCAGCAAUGCCGCGUGCAGGAUGAAGGCCUUCGGUUGGUAAC
rnacentral:rRNA from 1 species